AACCGUUGGGUUGGCUAGCUCUAAAAAGUCCUUCCCGUUACUUUCUUCUUGGCCUGCACCUAUCUUUUGAAUGCAAUGGAUAAAUUCAACCUUCAUGAUCGCCACAGAGAAGCUUGUCCUCAGAAAACUCAGAUCGAGUAUGAAUCUGAGUUCAGAUAAUACAAUAGAGAUUUAGUUAUCUAUUAAAAUAAGUUAAAGGCUGGACAAAAUAUAAACUGGCUGAAGGCGUAGAAUAUGUAACAGAUUUUUAUGAAUGUAUUGGUCAAGACUAAAAUUGGUCCAUAGACUGAUGAUGCUUGUACUUAAAGAGAACAUGAAAACUCACAGCCAAUAUGUUAUCAAUUUCAUUUUGUAUCCUCCAGUUCAAGAAAUCAAUCAGCUGAAACAUGAAGUAUGAUUGGUAGGAAUACUUGAAAUCCAUAAACUUGAUUCAAG
rnacentral:lncRNA from 1 species